rnacentral:rRNA from 1 species
GACGAACGCUGGCGGCGUGCUUAACACAUGCAAGUCGAACGGUAAGGCCCUUCGGGGUACACGAGUGGCGAACGGGUGAGUAACACGUGGGUGAUCUGCCCCGCACUUUGGGAUAAGCCUGGGAAACUGGGUCUAAUACCGGAUAGGACCACGGCCUGCAUGGGUUGUGGUGGAAAGCUUUUGCGGUGUGGGAUGGGCCCGCGGCCUAUCAGCUUGUUGGUGGGGUGAUGGGCUACCAAGGCGACGACGGGUAGCCGGCCUGAGAGGGUGUCCGGCCACACUGGGACUGAGAUACGGCCCAGACUCCUACGGGAGGCAGCAGUGGGGAAUAUUGCACAAUGGGCGCAAGCCUGAUGCAGCGACGCCGCGUGGGGGAUGACGGCCUUCGGGUUGUAAACCUCUUUCACCAGGGACGAAGCGCAAGUGACGGUACCUGGAGAAGAAGCACCGGCCAACUACGUGCCAGCCGCCGCGGUAA